rnacentral:rRNA from 1 species
AACGGUUCCGUAUAUCUGUUGUAACCGAUCGUGGCAAGUUGGGCGUGGAUACCGACUGGAACAGCUAUGUGUUAACACAGCUGAAUGGGGCUCACUAUACCUCCUUUCGAACGGCUCCAUAAAUCUUCGAACGGCUCCGUAUAUCUGUUGUCACCAAUCGUGGUAAAUACGGCGUGGAUAGAGCACGGAAAAGCUGUGUAUAACACAGACCAGUGGGGUCACCGCUGCCCGUUGGCAUGGGCAGUGGGGGUAAGUGGGCUCAUAACCAUGGGCCUCACCUCAUCAACGGCUCUCAAAGUACCUCUGGGACUAAACAUCCCGGGCGAAACAGAGGCCUYUGCUACCAGACACAGUUACCGAGCGCCCUGCGGGGUUGGUCUUGUCUGGGUACCCGGCAGAGCCCAUCCACAAGCGCACGAUGGACUUCAGACCUAUCAGCUAGACKGUAGGGUAUUGGCCUACCGUGGCUAUGACGGGUACAGAGGAUUAGGGUUUGAUCCUGGAGAGGUAGCCUGAGAAAUCGCUCCCACUUCUGAGGAAGGCAGCAGGCGCG